CCUAGUUUUCAGCAGAAAGGAAGCUAAAUACAGAAACGCUAUUAACGUUGACCUAAAUACUAGUACAUCGGUGAAACUUGGCCCUUGUUCACUUCCCACAAAACUCCCAACUUUGACACUAUGCAAAAAGAAGAUUCUCCAUCACAUCAAACUUGCGGUACAUGCAUGGAGUACUAAAUGUAGAUGAAAUCAAAAACUAUUUGCACAGUUUUGUUGUACUUUGCGAGACGAAUCUUUU
rnacentral:lncRNA from 1 species